GCCGGUAUAGCUCAGCUGGUAGAGCAACUGACUUGUAAUCAGUAGGUCCCGGGUUCGACUCCUGGUGCCGGC
rnacentral:tRNA from 1 species